GAGAGGCAGGUGCGGAGCCGCAGCCGGGACUCGCCAAAGUCUGGAAGGGGAGCUCGGACCUGCCUCUGCCGCUCCUCGGCUGGCCCCGGCGCGCGGGACAGGAUCCCAAAUUGGUUUACAAACGAUGGGUUAAACCUUAUAGUCACCCUCCGUGCUGAGGAAGCCUGUCACGCUGUGCGAAAGGUGGUAUUGUACAGCCAUGGAGGAUUCGACUAUCAGUCUGGUUCUUAAAGGAGUCAGCCUUCUGUGGGAAAAGAGAGGACCCUGCAAUAAGGAUGGGGGAUUCCUGAGUUCAUGCAUUUGACCCCUGUUUUCCUAUGCAUCUAUGGGGUUUGCAGGCUUGGCUUCUACCGCACCUGGUAGUAAACUACUCCCACUGGAGCAGAGAGAUGAUGUGGAAUAAACUCCAUGAGCAGAACCCC